rnacentral:lncRNA from 1 species
CCCCCCUCUCUCUCUCACACACAGACGAGCUUGGUUGAUUUAAGAAUCUUAUUCGGGCACAGAAGAUGGAUGUACUUUCUUGAACAAAAUGGAGAAGCAACCAGAUCCAGCACCAUGAUCAUCCUUUUUUAACGCAUUUUCUUGACGUGUCUUCUUUUCGAGUCUCUUCAUCUUCUCUUUAUGGAGUUUCCUCAAUACGUAAACUUCAGCAAUAUCCGCAUUAGGAGUCAACAUGGCUGCUCAACUGAACGAGCUCUUCUGACACAGAAAUAAAUAAGAGAUUGAUCUCUGUAUGUUUUGUAGGAGAGAAGCCGAAAUGAAUGAAUGAAUGAAAGAACGAAUGAAUCGGGAUAUUUAUAGAGAUGGUGAACUUCAUUCCAACGGAUGCAUGACAUAAUUGUGAAGUUAAAUUUACGGAUCCGUGGAGGUCAAAGAAGAAAAUUG